GUUUCCAUAGUGUAGUGGUUAUCACGUUCGCUUUACACGCGAAAGGUCCCCAGUUCGAAUCGGGUGGAAACA